rnacentral:misc_RNA from 1 species
AUCUUUUCAGCAGAUUUUCUCCGACUCUUCUUCGUUCGCUUCAUGCUGCUAGCAUUUCCAGAUUCAAUGUUCUCCUUGUCAUCCAAUGCCCUUGUUGCUGAGAGAACUUGUUCUUUAGUAUCCCCAGUUGGUUCAUUGUUAUCUAAAAGAGGGGAUGUCUCAGCACCUUGAGUAACUGACAACUUGCCUUCGAUCCCUAUUUCAUUUAUAUGAUCCACAUCAGUUUUUGGCAUACUACCAACCUUUGUUGUUGCAUCACUUGAACCAUCAUUACGGACUAUAUCUUGGUCAGAUGUAUAAGAAUUUUGAGAAGCCCCAACAAUAUUUUUCAUAUCUAACUCCUGAUGAUAAGUUGACUUCUUGGCCCUGCUUCUCUUCCUCCCAAAGCUAUUUUCUGCUGCUCCUUGUAAAUCUCCCAACUGGUAGGAAGGUACUGGACCCCUGGUGCUUGGUUCACUCAACUUUUCACUCGUGGGCAUUUCAAAAUCACAGUUUGGUAUCAGCUCCUGUUCUCCAGUUGUAUUAGCACCAACAAUUCCAAGUUCAUUGUCUCCAGAGAUAUUGGAUUCAAAAAUAGGUUGGCCAACUACAUUCAUUUCACAAAUAUCUUUGCUGACUGGUGCUGGACACUCUUUGUUUAACGCGUGAUCUUUAACAGGAGAUGUUUCUUUCAGUCUAGAUUGAGUAGCAUGAAUAGUAGAGUCAACAUCAGUCAACUUGUCAAAGAUCUUCAUUUCAACUUCUUCCUUUUGCUCUAAUCUUCUAGCUCCCACAAAUUUAUCAGUGGGACCCAGAGCCAUGCAGGCAACCUCAUCAUGGCACGUGGAUG